rnacentral:rRNA from 1 species
UACGUAGGGUGCAAGCGUUGUCCGGAAUUAUUGGGCGUAAAGAGCUCGUAGGCGGUCUGUCGCGUCUGCUGUGAAAACUCAGGGCUUAACCCUGAGCUUGCAGUGGGUACGGGCAGACUAGAGUGCGGUAGGGGAGACUGGAAUUCCUGGUGUAGCGGUGAAAUGCGCAGAUAUCGGGAGGAACACCGGUGGCGAAGGCGGGUCUCUGGGCCGUAACUGACGCUGAGGAGCGAAAGCAUGGGGAGCGAACAGG